CCAAUGAAACAGGAGGCCUCGAUUCGUGCAGAAGAUAAGGUUUGAAACCCAGACAGCACGAAGCAUCUUGCCGACGUCAAAAUCAGAUCAACAGACAGGGACAUCAGCCUUCUCUUGGGAAUAGGCCAGAUAUGCCAGAACAAGAAAUGUCUAUAUCUUGGACUGAAAAAGGAUGCUUUGCCCCUGCGGUUGUGAAGAGGAUGCUGUGGAGGUGGCAGCAUGAACGUGUCACACAGACAUUGGCUAAACUACUCGGCUUCUACACUUGCCCUCAGAGUUCACAUAUGGUGAAGUGCACAGGUGUCCAGUCAGGUUCAGACUGAUGCUGGUAACAAGAGGAAAACAUGCUAAUUGGUAAGUGAGAUCCCUGCUCAACAAAAAUCCACACAGCACAACAAGUAAGCCUAGUUUGUGGUAUCAAAUGUAAAAUGGAAGUUUCAUCAAAAAGUUGUAGAACACAUCUGAAUAAAUUGCAGGCCAUCAAAGUUGUGAAUGGGCAGGGAAAACACAACCAGUAGGCUUAUGAAUUACUUUGACUCAGCACAGCACAGCAGAUGCGAUGCUACCAUUCCUUGGGAAUAUGACACAGAGGUCUACUAUUCCAUUGUAAAUAUUGACUGGAAAUGUUCAUGUUUCAACUGUUUUAAAAACAUUGGACUCAGGGGAAAAAAUCUCUAGGUGUAUAUAAGUGAAAGCCCACCUUUGCCAUUGUGACACAGCACACAAGUAUACACUGCACACAACGAAAUUGCAUUUUAUGCCUCACCUGUGCAAGGGUGCAGCCUACAUUGGCAUCCCAAGGGAGCAGUAUGUUGCAGUGUGGCGGGAAGGUACCAUACUUGGGGUACCUCAGUCAUGGAGGAUGGUGGAGAGAGCACUGGUUAAUUACUCCCUCCACCAACCUGGCGGGCUGGGAGAUGAACCAGCAACCUUUGGGUUGUUCAGCCCUGGGCUACAGGACACCCUAACCGCUUACCAAUGACUGCCCCACUUAUCCUUGACUGUAUAAAAAAUACCACAGAGUAGCGAGUACACUUUUAAAUUAAAAGGGUCAAUAUAGAUGAUAGACUUUUCAUCCACAGGCAGGUAAGGCCUAUAUUGAAGGCAGCCAGCUUCAAAACAGACCCCACCUUCUCUUUGUCACCUGAAUAUAACUUAAUUGUAUUGCAAAUGUCAUUCCUAAGAUUCAUUUACAAAAUGUGUUUUAUUUCAUGUGAAGCUGCAUAACAUUGAAAUUAUGUCGGGGGGCCCGGUGAAACGGCCCUUGAGACAUAGGUUCCCCACCCCUGCUGUAGGAAGAGCCUGUAGACGGUGACACUUCAGACAUUUGACUUUCUAGCUCUUGUCACAGGUCAGUCCAUGAGCCCACGUCUUCAGGUCAUGGGCCUGAGAAGAAUCUACCGUUACAGGGGUCAGAAGAGAUCCUCAAACUAUGCUGACAUUACUACCCCUGUACUUCAACCCCUCUGCUGCCACUGGGUCCUCAACGAGAAAAUAAACUGAUUCCCCCCCCCAAUCCAUUCCUUUUUCCACCGUCACAUCACACCAUGCCUAUGCACAUUAACACCACCAAUGAGCCUAGAAAACUAGGACAACAGUGAGGAUGAAUUUAGAAACCGCUUCCACGUAUUGUACUAUUUCUGAAAAAGCAUUGGUAUUGGCCUUCUAUCUCCACGUAGCCAUAUCAAAAAACCUGCCUAAAAAAAAAUCAAUUUUGUCGUGUUUCCGCUUAAAAAGGAAUUUAGAAACCGCUUCCACGUAUUGUACUAUUUCUGAAAAAGCAUUGGUAUUGGCCUUCUAUCUCCAUGUAGCCAUAUCAAAAAACCUGCCUCAAAAAAAAAACUAUUUUGUCGUGUUUCCGCUUAAAAAGGAGAACAAAAUAUCCACAUGUAAAAUUAUCCUGCUACGUGGAAAUGGCACCUUACUAAAUAAAUAACAACUGCAUAGUUAUUCUGUUCAAUUUAUGAGUAACUAUGUAAAUUAUGAU